rnacentral:rRNA from 1 species
UACGGAGGGUGCAAGCGUUAAUCGGAAUUACUGGGCGUAAAGCGCACGCAGGUGGCUGAGUCAGUCGAUUGUGAAAGCCCUGGGCUCAACCUAGGAAGUGCACUCGAAACUGCGGAGCUCGAGUCUCGGAGAGGAUCGCGGAAUUCUCGGUGUAGAGGUGAAAUUCGUAGAUAUCGAGAGGAACACCGGUGGCGAAGGCGGCGAUCUGGACGAUGACUGACGCUGAGACGCGAAAGCGUGGGGAGCAAACAGG